rnacentral:rRNA from 1 species
GACGAACGCUGGCGGCGUGCUUAACACAUGCAAGUCGAGCGGAAAGGCCCUUCGGGGUACUCGAGCGGCGAACGGGUGAGUAACACGUGAGCAACCUGCCCCGGACUUUGGAAUAACCCUCGGAAACGGGGGCUAAUGCCAAAUAUUACUGACUCUCGCAUGGGGGUUGGUGGAAAGUUUUUCGGUCUGGGAUGGGCUCGCGGCCUAUCAGCUUGUUGGUGGGGUAAUGGCCUACCAAGGCGAGGACGGGUAGCCGGCCUGAGAGGGCGACCGGCCACACUGGGACUGAGACACGGCCCAGACUCCUACGGGAGGCAGCAGUGGGGAAUAUUGCACAAUGGGCGGAAGCCUGAUGCAGCGACGCCGCGUGAGGGAUGACGGCCUUCGGGUUGUAAACCUCUUUCAGCAGGGACGAAGCGCAAGUGACGGUACCUGCAGAAGAAGCGCCGGCCAACUACGUGCCAGCCGCCGCUGUAACAC